UACAGAGGGGGCAAGCGUUGUUCGGAAUUACUGGGCGUAAAGGGCGCGUAGGCGGCCUGUUAAGUCGAACGUGAAAUCCCCGGGCUCAACCCGGGAACUGCGUCCGAUACUGGCAGGCUUGAAUUCGGGAGAGGGAUGUGGAAUUCCAGGUGUAGCGGUGAAAUGCGUAGAUAUCUGGAGGAACACCGGUGGCGAAGGCGGCAUCCUGGACCGAGAUUGACGCUGAUGCGCGAAAGCCAGGGGAGCAAACGGGG
rnacentral:rRNA from 1 species